rnacentral:lncRNA from 1 species
AAUUUUCUAAAUUGUUCUAAAACCUUAAACUUAGAAACCUAGUUUGUAGUAUUUUGGCUUUCAUCACAUUAUGUUUUACCUCUUUGCACAGAAUAUCACAAUCUUUGAAUAAGAGUGAAGAUGAGACAUUUACUUCUGCUACUCUAUUCAUAAAGUGUGCAAGCUUUGAAGAUGCCGGAAAUUAUAGUUGUAAUGCAGUUGAUGUUGAUAGUGAAGAAGAAUCCUCUCGAACAUUGGUUUUGGAUGUUGGCAUAAAAAAUGAAGUCAAAGCAUCCAAAGGUCCUCGUGUCAAAGCGGGAGACAAUGCUACCUUAUCUUGUACCUUUACUGGCUCAAACUUGCGUGACUUCAAGUGGUCAAAAAUUAACGACACAUCUGUAGUUGACCAUCCUGAGGAAAAUGGUGAAGUUCGCCCAAUCAAUGAAACGUAUGUUGAAACUUCACUCCAUCUACAUCAUGUGCGGACUCAGAAUGAUAAUGGGACCUACAUUUGCCAAGCGAACGGUUUCAAGGAUAAAGUUGUGGGCAUUGUUCCUUUGUAUGUUUUAGGUAAUUCCUCUUUCAUUUUUUGUUUUUAUUUAAGGUCCAAUAUUUUUACCUUUUUGCCAUCUUUGUUGAUGUUCUGCAAGAUAUAUUGAUCCUGGUCUCUGCAGAACUCAGAAUCUGUGCCUUUGUGUCCACUUACAUAAACCUUUGAACCUUGUCAAGUUAGGUUGGGUCGCGCCUAAUACUACAAAAUGGAAAGUAACCCCUAUAGAACUCUCAUCAGAACCUCAUUGUUCG